GAAGAUAUCGAGUCUUGUAGUUUUUUUUUAUUUUUUUUAAAUUAUUAUUCAAAUACAAGUUAGCCCUGGACUGCAAUCACACCUGGUGGCAAGUGACGAUGCCGUCCAAGAUGAUAGCGGGCUGACCGGGAAGGGCUAUUUGAGGGCAUUUUUUAUUAAACCCAUAACCCUUUGGCUUCUACACGGCAUCCUACCGGAACCAUCUUGGCGGCACGGCUUUGCUGGUAGGAUGGUAACU